CUUAUGCAGUUGCUCUGAAUGAUGAGUUUCAUUGGUGGUGGGAGCUGACUCAUGUUUUCUACAAUAUGAAGGGAGCUGACUCAUGUUUUUUAAGUUUCAAGUGUUAGAGUUUUAGAAUAUUAGUUAAUCCAGAUAUUUCACAUUUUUAUAGUGUAGGACUGAUUCCAUCAUGUUGCCUAGCUUGAAAGAUUAUUUGUAGUAGUAUGACUUUAU
rnacentral:lncRNA from 1 species